rnacentral:rRNA from 1 species
GACGAACGCUGGCGGCGUGCUUAACACAUGCAAGUCGAACGGAAAGGCCCUGCUUUUGCGGGGUGCUCGAGUGGCGAAGGGGGGAGUAACACGCGAGGAACCCGCCCUUGACUUUGGGAUAACUUCAGGAAACUGGGGCUAAAACCGGAGAGAAGAUCCUGCUGCACGGGGUGGGUAGGAAAGUGUCGGUGGUUGUGGAUGGAAUAGCUGGUUAUGAGCUGCAUGGUGGGGUAGUUACUUACCAAGGCUUUGACGGGUAGCCGGCCUGGGAGGUUGACCGGCGACAUUGCGACUGAGAUACGCACCAGACUCCUACGGGAGGCAGCAGUGGGGAAUCUUGCACAGUGGGCGGACGCCUGAUGCAGCAGCGCCGCGUGCGGGAUGACGGCCUUCGAGUUGUAAACCGCUUUCGCAUGUAACGAAGCGUGAGUGACGGUAAUGGGUAAAGAAGCACCGGCUAACUACGUG